rnacentral:rRNA from 1 species
UACAGAGGGUGCGAGCGUUGUUCGGAAUUAUUGGGCGUAAAGGGCUCGUAGGCGGCCAACUAAGUCAGACGUGAAAUCCCUCGGCUUAACCGGGGAACUGCGUCUGAUACUGGUUGGCUUGAAUCCGGGAGAGGGAUGUGGAAUUCCAGGUGUAGCGGUGAAAUGCGUAGAUAUCUGGAGGAACACCGGUGGCGAAGGCGGCAUCCAGGACCGGUAUUGACGCUGAGGAGCGAAAGCCAGGGGAGCAAACGGG